GAUGGACGCUGGCGGCGUGCCUAAUACAUGCAAGUCGAGCGAACAGACAAGGAGCUUGCUCCUCUGACGUUAGCGGCGGACGGGUGAGUAACACGUGGAUAACCUACCUAUAAGACUGGGAUAACUUCGGGAAACCGGAGCUAAUACCGGAUAAUAUAUUGAACCGCAUGGUUCAAUAGUGAAAGACGGUUUUGCUGUCACUUAUAGAUGGAUCCGCGCCGCAUUAGCUAGUUGGUAAGGUAACGGCUUACCAAGGCAACGAUGCGUAGCCGACCUGAGAGGGUGAUCGGCCACACUGGAACUGAGACACGGUCCAGACUCCUACGGGAGGCAGCAGUAGGGAAUCUUCCGCAAUGGGCGAAAGCCUGACGGAGCAACGCCGCGUGAGUGAUGAAGGUCUUCGGAUCGUAAAACUCUGUUAUUAGGGAAGAAUAAAUGUGUAAGUAACUAUGCACGUCUUGACGGUACCUAAUCAGAAAGCCACGGCUAACUACGUG
rnacentral:rRNA from 1 species